AGUUUGAUCGGGGAGUAAUGCAUAGGAAUCUGCCCGGUAGUGGGGGAUAACCUGGGGAAACUCAGGCUAAUACCGCAUACGUCCUACGGGAGAAAGCAGGGGAUCUUCGGACCUUGCGCUAUCGGAUGAGCCUAUGUCGGAUUAGCUAGUUGGUGAGGUAACGGCUCACCAAGGCCGCGAUCCGUAGCUGGUCUGAGAGGAUGAUCAGCCACAUCGGGACUGAGACACGGCCCGAACUCCUACGGGAGGCAGCAGUGGGGAAUAUUGGACAAUGGGCGAAAGCCUGAUCCAGCCAUGCCGCGUGUGUGAAGAAGGCCCUCGGGUUGUAAAGCACUUUCAGUGAGGAAGAACGCUUGUGGGCUAAUACCCCGCAAGAAGGACAUCACUCACAGAAGAAGCACCGGCUAACUCCGUGCCAGCAGCCGCGGUAAUACGGAGGGUGCGAGCGUUAAUCGGAAUUACUGGGCGUAAAGCGCGCGUAGGCGGCUUGAUAAGCCGGUUGUGAAAGCCCCGGGCUCAACCUGGGAACGGCAUCCGGAACUGUCAGGCUAGAGUGCAGGAGAGGAAGGUAGAAUUCCCGGUGUAGCGGUGAAAUGCGUAGAGAUCGGGAGGAAU
rnacentral:rRNA from 1 species